UACGGAGGGUGCGAGCGUUGUCCGGAAUCACUGGGCGUAAAGGGCGCGUAGGCGGCUUUUUAAGGGUGCGGUGAAAGCCCGGGGCUUAACCCCGGGUCGGCCGUGCCGACUGAAAAGCUGGAGCACUGUAGAGGCAGGUGGAAUUCCGGGUGUAGCGGUGGAAUGCGUAGAGAUCCGGAAGAACACCAGUGGCGAAGGCGGGUCUCUGGGCCGAUAUUGACGCUGAGGAGCGAAAGCGUGGGGAGCGAACAGG
rnacentral:rRNA from 1 species